CUGCUCUUAUUGAUCAGACACCAGAUGUGAUCAUUAUGGAAGGGGAUAAAACCACACUGAGAUGUUCUCAAUCUACGACCAAACACGUAUACAUGUCCUGGUACAAGCAAGAGAAGAGAAGAGAAGCCGGUUCCCAGUUCCAGCUGGUGGCUUUUACAUCUGAAGGUUCUGCAGGAGACUCUGCCAUUGAGCAACCUUUUCAAAAACGCUUCACGACCACAGGGAUGAAGUCAUUUGUCUUCCCUCUGUUUCUGGAGAAGGCCCAGCUGGAAGACACAGGCACCUACUACUGUGCUUCACAAGAGGGGGCUGAGCUGCACUUUGGAAAAGGAACUCAAUUUACAGUACUUGAAAAGGGACACAUUAUCACACCCCCAACUGUGACCGUAUUUUCUCCAUCCAAAAGAGAAUUGGAAAAGAAGCAGAAAGUUACAAUUGUGUGUUUGGCUACUGAUUUCUAUCCAGAUCAUGUCAUUCUUACAUGGUCCCUAAAUAACAAGGAUAUAAUAGAGGGAAUAAAGACAGAGGAGCCCAAAUACGAAAAUAAGAAAUAUUCACUGAUCAGCCGUUUAAGAAUCCCUGGGAACCAGUGGCAGAAUUCAGAAAACAAUUUCAAGUGCAAAGUCGAUUUCUACAAUUCUUCCGAAAGCAUAAGUUACGAAGCUUCCAUAACUGGAGAAGAAUGUGAUAGCAAGACCUCCACAAAUGAAUCGUAUCUCAGACAAGCCAAUCUUGGAAAACUGGUGUAUAUUCUUCUCAUUUUCAAGAGUGCCUUGUAUGGGGCAUUUAUAAUGCAUUUGAAAAUAAGAAAAAAGUCCUGUGGCAAUUGAUACAACAAAAGCCUUUUACCUGGAAACAUCACGCCUGAGUUGAAUGAAUGCUGGACAGAGAAGAAGAAUGAUUCUUGCCUUUAAAGUCCAAAGUGGCAUUCUGAUUCUUUUUUUUUUUUAAAUAAAAAAUGUUUGGUUGUUCCCACC